rnacentral:lncRNA from 1 species
GGUGAGGGGUUUUGUGUUCUGAUUGAGAUUUGUGCAUGGGUUUGUCUUCAUUAGUGGAUAAUUGUGUCUUCAGUUGGUGAUCUGCUACAAGUAAAUCAAUCGUACCUGGGUGUAGAAGAUAAACGUGUUAGAUCAAUCAGGAUAUGGGUUUAUGCUUUGAUUGUUGCAUGUUCUUCAAUUAUAAUUCUUUUUUUUUUUUUUUUUCUUGGCUGAUGGCCACAAGCCUUGGUAGAUCUUUAAGAUUCAAGAGAAUCAGAUUAGGGAAGUUGAUGUAGGUGUUUCUGAUUUGUCAUCUAGAUGAUUAAUGAUUUCUGAUGCAAUUUUUUAGAUCUACAUGUUUCUACCUGAUCAAGGUUUGGCUUUGAUUUUGCUCUCUGUUGCUAUUGCUUUCUGUUUCUAGAUGCUGGAUACCAAUAGAGUUGAUCAUCGCUAAAUUCACUAUACCUAUUCAAAUGUAAAAAAAGGAGUGAGGGGGGAUUUAAUCUAGAUACAUUUUGCUUAUACACUAUUCUUUUCUCUUUUAUUGAAGACCUCUUUUCAUUUAUUUGUAUGCAGCCUCCAUUUCAAAAGUGCAAAUUACUUAGCAGCAACAGAGAAGCAAACAAUCGUUUAGCUUAAGCAAACAAUCAUUUAUCUGCCAAAGCUAAAUAACGCUUCAGGUAAAAGCCUCUGUCUGUGCAUUGUUCUUUGAAUUUUAAACUUCUCAUACAACGGUUUCUCUUUGUGUAUGGGUCUAUUUUUUUCAACAGCUUUAUUCAGAAUGUUAGAUGGCAGAAAUUUUAAUAAUUUUGUAUGAGCUGUAUGAUUGUUUAAUUUCUGUUUGUGUAGAUGUGAAGAAAUGAAAGUCUUGAUAAAUCCAAGUCACUUUUAUUUAUCUUAAAUAGUCUCAUUGAAAAUGGUUGGUUUGAAAGUAAUAUGGGAUGUGACAAUUUUUAACUGUGUUAGCCCAAAUUGCAUAUAUGGUGAACAUUUUGUGCAAUAAGUUUGAUGGAUGAAUGUGAUGUACCCAUUCAGAUUUUUUGUUAAAACUUAAUAAAAUGAAAACUGUUUUGUCUUUUUUUUUU